rnacentral:piRNA from 1 species
UAUGUGAGCAAAUACCUCAUCAGGUGUCAC